rnacentral:rRNA from 1 species
AAAUAGAUACCCCUGGUAGUCCACGCCGUAAACGAUGAGUGCUAGGUGUUGGGGGGACCCCCUCAGUGCCGCAGGUAACCCAAUAAGCACUCCGCCUGGGGAGUACGGUCGCAAGACUGAAACUCAAAGGAAUUGACGGGGGCCCGCACAAGCGGUGGAGCAUGUGGUUUAAUUCGAGGCAACGCGAAGAACCUUACCAGGGCUUGACAUCCCGCUGACCGGUGUAGAGAUAUGCCUUUCCCCUUCGGGGGACAGCGGUGACAGGUGGUGCAUGGUUGUCGUCAGCUCGUGUCGUGAGAUGUUGGGUUCAGUCCCGCAACGAGCGCAACCCUUGUUUCUAGUUGCCAGCACUUCGGGUGGGCACUCUAGAGAGACAGCCGGUGAAAGCCGGAGGAAGGUGGGGAUGACGUCAAAUCAUCAUGCCCCUUAUGUCCUGGGCUACACACGUGCUACAAUGGCUGGUACAAAGGGCAGCGAACCCGCGAGGGGGAGCCAAUCCCAAAAAACCAGUCUCAGUUCGGAUUGCAGGCUGCAACUCG